rnacentral:lncRNA from 1 species
AGGACGCCAGGCUCAAAGAAACCCUUCUCUUCGCGGCCGGCAAGGGCUUCUCAGAGCACCAAACCCCCACAAGCGAAUACCUCGAGUUAAGGGCCAAACUCCAAACCAAGCCGGAUUACCUCGAAGUCCUGGAGAAGACCACGUACCGGUUCUGACCGCCGCCCCGCCGCCCGCCCGGCACCGCCGCAUGCGAGGGGAGGCUCCAGCUGCGCGCUCUGCCCGCCAGCUGUGCGCGCUGCGGGCAGGGCCGGCCUCAGAGCAGUAAUCGACGAAGUGCCUUCGCAGACUUUUGCCAGCAGAUGUUAAUCAAUCAUUAUUUUUUAUACUGAAACUGAGACUUUGACUGUGCCAUGUCUAAGUGACCCAAAAACCUGGCUGCUUUGGAAAGUGGAUAGUAUUGGCAAUCAAAGAAAUAUGAGUGAUGUUUUGCACCUCAAGACUUCAUUCUGUAAGAUGUAUCGACCGGAUUGCCUACCUGUAACUCAGCUUUGUAAGCAGCCUCCUGAGGUUAGCCGCGGUGGUAAUACAUGCCUUGUGCUUUGCCAGCCCCUACAAGCCAGCCAAAGUCUGUUAAAGCCUUCAGAGCACAAAACAGUGAUAAGAUGGAUCACUAACAGGUAUGCAUCAGGGAUAACGCAAAGGUGUUCCUUGGACGACAACCUAAAAUUAGCUGCUGUUAACUCAAAGCAGUAGUAACUGCCUCCUAUGUUGUUACCUCUGCUGGAACAGAGUGGCUAAUGUAUGUAAGGGAAAUGGUGAUACUGAGUAUGUACAUUAUAUACAUAUAUACUAUGUAUAUGUAUGUAUAUGUGUAUAUGCUAGCAUGUUGAAGUGUAGAAGUCAUUUUUUGAAAAGUUCUGGGAGAUUCAGGCAUAUGGCUUGUUUUGGACUGUUAUAAAAAUAUGAACAUUUUGGUGAUAAAGCUAAAAAUGUAUACAUUAAGACCUACAUUCCUAAUGUAGGUCAGUGGAGGCACUUCUCAGACAUAUUAGUGUUUUGGACACUUAAUCUUAGCAGCAUAUUGCAUCUCCUGGAAUAGGUUAGCAGAGGCAAUGCAGAAGAAAUUGUUGCAUCUGAAGUCAUUCAGAAAUAUUGCCAAGUUUCUCAGGAACCAGAAUUGCAGGAUAAUGAGUAUUAUAUUUAAUUUGUGAUGGAAAGGCAACUGUAGGGAGUUCAGCAGAGGCAACUCAGAUCAUCUUGGCUCUGUGGGGGAGGGAGAAUUUAUAACUAUAGCUAGCUAAAAAGAAGAAAGCUGUCUGUAUUUGUGUGUAUAUAUAUAUUUAUAUAUAUGUAUAUACAAAUCUGUGUAUGUGUAGAUAACGCUGUGUGUAUAUAUGUAUGUAUGUAUAUGCCCAUAAUGUAUAAUAUGUGUAUCUAUAUAUAUGUAUACAUUUAUAUAAAUUUAUAUUUCUCUAUAUAA